ACCCGCUGAACUUAAGCAUAUCAAUAAGCGGAGGAAAAGAAACUAACCAUGAUUCCCCCAGUAACGGCGAGUGAAGAGGGAAGAGCCCAAAUUUGUAAUCUGGCGGCUCCGGCCGUCCGAUCGGUAAUCUGGAGAGGUAUAGUACUCUCUGGCCCUCGUGUAAGUGUGCUAAUACGCAGCAUCAUAGAGGGAGUGAGGGUGAUAAGUCACUCCGACACACAGUGCACUGCGACGAGUCUACGCAGAGUCGAGUAGUUGAGGAAUGCAGCUCUACAGCUCUGGUAAAUUCCAUAUAAGCCUAUAUAUAGACGAGAGACCGAGAGCGAACAAGUGCCCAGAGGGAAAGAUGAAAAGCUCUUUAGAAAGAGAGAGAAAGAGUACGUCAAAUCGCGGAAAGGGAAACAAUGGAGCUCAGACAUUCGUGCCCGGCCUCAGCCAUCCCUCGUGUUGGUGUAAUGUCGUCCAGGCAGGCCAGCGUCAGUUUCUGUGGCCGUAAAAGGGUCAAGGGAACGUAGCAGCUCCGGCUGUGUUAUAACCCUGGACUGGAAGCGGACACGGGGACCGAAGAUAGCCGCCAGCCCUUAUGGCAGGGCUCUCUGGCCUAACGCGCUUAGGACGCUGACAUAAUGGCCUUAAACGACCCGUCUUGAAACACGG
rnacentral:rRNA from 1 species